CCCAGCUGCAUAGACCUUCCAUACGGCUCCGUUCUGCCUCGAUGAACACUGUGGCUUGCUGAGAGCUUGAAACAGUUCUGCAGAAAAUUGUAAAGAUCCUGAGACAUUUCACUGUUAAGAUCUAAUAUCAAGGUAGUCACAGGAAGAUACACUUUACUUUCCACUGAUUGGAUGGGAGGAAUUUUUGACCUUGGAAAGUGGAGAUGGUGUUGCUAUGGAAACUAAUAAGUCUGCUGCCAUUCAUGAGCUGCAGCACAGAAGCUGAAACUUGAAAGGAGCCCUGUGUCUCUGGAGCUCUGUACAUCAAUGUCUGAAGGGAGAAAACACAUGAAAGUUGAAGGCC
rnacentral:lncRNA from 1 species